rnacentral:rRNA from 1 species
CAGGAUGAACGCUAGCGGCAGGCUUAACACAUGCAAGUCGAGGGGCAUCGGGAGUAGCAAUACUUGCCGGCGACCGGCGCAAGGGUGCGUAACGCGUGAGCAACAUGCCCGUAUCAGGGGGAUAAUCCAUGGAAACGUGGUCUAAUACCCCAUAGUAAUCAUGUAAGGCAUCUUAUAUAAUUUAAAGCUUUGGUGGAUACGGAUUGGCUCGCGUGACAUUAGCUAGAUGGUAAGGUAACGGCUUACCAUGGCUACGAUGUCUAGGGGUUCUGAGAGGAAGGUCCCCCACACUGGAACUGAGACACGGUCCAGACUCCUACGGGAGGCAGCAGUGAGGAAUAUUGGACAAUGGAUGGAAAUCUGAUCCAGCCAUGCCGCGUGCAGGAAAGACGGCCCUAUGGGUUGUAAACUGCUUUUGUAUGGGAGCAAUAAGGGCUACGCGUAGUCCGAUGAGAGUACCAUACGAAUAAGCACCGGCUAACUCCGUGCCAGCCGCUGC